UGAAAAUAAUCUCUGGCUCCACACUCCAGUCCAGUUGGUGGCGCUAAUGCACCUCUCGGCUAGUUUGCCAACCGCCAAUAAAAAAAAGAGAAAAGAAGAACAAGUUUGAGGGGAAAAAACAAGCCUGACGGCGACGGGCUUAUCAACGACGUUGUUCACUGGCGACGGAGUAGCCUGUCCACACACGUAGCUGUCACACGACGGUCCGCUUUGGUCACCUGCAGUCUUCCCAGUAUACGCUGACCGGACCCUGCUGGCUGGCCUGGAUCACAACCACCGUGUCCACAGACCAGCCAGGAGAAAAGCUGAUGACACAGUUCAGUACAGCAAGGUGUACAACAAAGUCCAGGAAGUGGAGCUUGUACUCAUUGAAGGUGGAGAAGG